rnacentral:rRNA from 1 species
AACGAACGCUGGUGGCGUGCUUAACACAUGCAAGUCGAACGAGAAAGUUUCCUUCGGGAAAUUAGUAAAGUGGCGCAAGGGUGAGUAACACGUGAAUAAUCUGCCCUCGAGAUCGGGAUAACAUGGUGAAAACUAUGCUAAUACCGGAUAAGACCACAUUUUAAAAGAAAUGCGGUAAAAGAAGUCUCAAUCUUUACUCGAGGAUGAGUUCGCGCAACAUUAGCUUGUUGGUGAGAUAAAAGCUCACCAAGGCUACGAUGUUUAGCCGGCCUGAGAGGGUGAACGGCCACACUGGAACUGAGACACGGUCCAGACUCCUACGGGAGGCAGCAGUGGGGAAUAUUGCGCAAUGGGCGAAAGCUUGACGCAGCAACGCCGCGUGAUCGAAG